AUUUCAAAGAAUAGUUUAUAUAAAAUAAUAAUUUUGGAGAUUAUUGAUAAAGAAGAUUCUUUUUCUUUGA
rnacentral:tRNA from 1 species